rnacentral:lncRNA from 1 species
AUUUAAAAACAUACCAAAAUGGCGCCAGAGCCACUGGAUAUCUCUGAGCAUGAGUUGCUCUUCAAAGCAACCGAUUUAUCCAAACUGGCCUGUAUAGAUUUGUCUCAGUACCUGGAGUCAUACAUGAGGAAUAUUAGAAACCUCUACAAUAACUCCUCAGCAGUAAAAGCUCAUUUUGCUAAAGCUGAGAUGGUGAUUCAGAAUUUAUCGAUUAUCUUUGCCAAGAAUAUCGGCUCAAUUUGGGCAAGAGCUAUGAAGAUACGACUUGCGUUCUCUGCUAACAUGAAUCAGAAAAAAAAUAACGAUGAUAAAGACGAUGAGGAUUGUGAUGGAGGAACUGGCGAAGAAGGUGCUGAUAAGCCAAAAGAAAAAGCUAAGAAGAAGAAAAAGGGAACAUUUAAUGUUGAAGAAUUUAAACUCCUACCUUUUCUCAAUACUGAUGAGUGUAAAAUUGUAUAA